rnacentral:rRNA from 1 species
UGAGUAAUGUCUGGGAAACUGCCUGAUGGAGGGGGAUAACUACUGGAAACGGUAGCUAAUACCGCAUAACGUCGCAAGACCAAAGAGGGGGACCUUCGGGCCUCUUGCCAUCAGAUGUGCCCAGAUGGGAUUAGCUAGUAGGUGGGGUAAUGGCUCACCUAGGCGACGAUCCCUAGCUGGUCUGAGAGGAUGACCAGCCACACUGGAACUGAGACACGGUCCAGACUCCUACGGGAGGCAGCAGUGGGGAAUAUUGCACAAUGGGCGCAAGCCUGAUGCAGCCAUGCCGCGUGUGUGAAGAAGGCCUUCGGGUUGUAAAGCACUUUCAGCGAGGAGGAAGGUGGUGAGCUUAAUACGCUCAUCAAUUGACGUUACUCGCAGAAGAAGCACCGGCUAACUCCGUGCCAGCAGCCGCGGUAAUACGGAGGGUGCAAGCGUUAAUCGGAAUUACUGGGCGUAAAGCGCACGCGGGCGGUUUGUUAAGUCAGAUGUGAAAUCCCCGGG